GCAAUGGUGGUUCAGUGAUAGAAUUCCCUCCUUCCAUGCAGAAGACCUGGGUUCAAGUCCUAAUCAAUGCA
rnacentral:tRNA from 1 species